rnacentral:misc_RNA from 1 species
UCCCCGUUGCCGGGGCAGUCUAGCUAGAGAAAUUCAACUAACUAUAAGGGUUGCGCUCGUUAAUGGACUUAACCAAACAUCUCACGACACGAGCUGACGACGGCCAUGCAUCACCUGUCACCACGGCCCGAAGGCACUCUCUCCUUUCGGAGAAAUUAGUGGGAUGUCAAACCUGGGUAAGGUUCUUCGCUUACCAUCGAAUUAAAGAACACGCUCCACCGCUUGUGCGGGUCCCCGUCAAUUCCUUUAUGUUUUAAGCUUGCGCUCGUACUCCACAGGCGGGAUGCUUAACGCGUUAGCUUCGCUACUACGCGGGUCGAUACGCAUAACAGCUAGCAUCCAUCGUUUACGGCGUGGACUAA